AGGUCACACCCGUUCCCAUGCCGAACACGGAAGUUAAGCUCUUCAGCGCCGAUGGUAGUUGGGGGUUUCCCCCUGUGAGAGUAGGACGUUGCUAGAC
rnacentral:rRNA from 1 species